GAUUAAAACAGAGAAGGGUAUAUGGUGGAUGCCUUGGUACUAUGAGCCGAUGAAAGACGCGAUAGCCGGCGAUACGCUUCGGGGAGGUGGCAAUAACCUUUGAUCCGGAGAUUUCUGAAUAGGGAAACCUAUGCAUUUGAAGAAUGCAUGCCUUUAUACCGUGGGGUAUAAAUGAGCGGGAACCAUGCGAAGUGAAACAUCUCAGUAGCAUGAGGAAAAUAAAGAAAGAGUGCGCAAGCACUUGUCGAUUCCGUUAGUAGUGGCGAGCGAACGCGGAGAUAUAUAGAAAUUUAUUCAUCGUACACCUAUGCUGGUGUCUGGUGAAUAAAUUAUCUAUUAGCCCAAACCUUUACUGUGUUAUUUUUUCAAACUAGUUUACUAGCGAGAUUAAAUUUAAAGCUUACUGGCGUUGCAGUAUAGGCGUUAUAAGAAUUGACGUUGCGGAACAGUAAUUCCGCAGAGGAACAUUAGUGUGCUAUGUAGCAGAACACGCCUGGAAAGGCGGACCAAAGAGGGUGACAGUCCCGUAUAGUGAAACAUCAUACAAUUCCUGAUCUUUUUCUUGAGUAAGUCCAGACACGAGAAAUCUGGACUGAAUUAGCGUAGACUAAUACGUAAGGCUAAAUACUCAUAGUGACCGAUAGUGAACGAGUACCGUGAGGGAAAGGUGAAAAGCACCCCGGAAGGGGAAUGAAAUAGUCUCUGAAACCAUAUACUUACAAGGAGUCGAAGACCUAACGCUCGGGCUUGCCCGCAGCGCAGGUUAACGGCGUGCCUAUUGAAGAAUGAUCCAACGAGUUAGUUGUGUGUGGCUUAACUAAGUGUUAACAAACACGAAGUUGUAGUGAAAGCGAGGAUUAAUAGUCCGUAUAAAGAUAUAUUCAGUUUUCAGUUUCGACUGGACGCUGAAUAUACUCUUUAAUGUCGCACGCGCUAGACCCGAAACCCGAGUGAGCUACCCAUGGCCAGGAUGAACGUUGUGUAAAAGCAACGGGAGGUCCGAACCCACUGUUGCUGCAAAAACAGGGGAUGAGCUGUGGGUCGAAGAGAAAUUCUAAUCGAACCGGGUGAUAGCUGGUUCUCCUCGAAAUAACUUUAGGGUUAGCGUCACGUGUUCCUCACAGAGGUAGAGCACUGAAUCGGACUCCGGUGGGAAACUGUCGGAUUCGAACCAAACUCCGAAUUCUGAUGAAUAAAUAACGUGGCAGUUAGACCAUGGGCUCUAAGGUCCAUUGGUCGAAUGGAGAAGAAUCCACACCGCCGUCUAAGGCCCCCAAAUCCUAGCUAUAGUGCAAAGGAUGUGGGAUUGCUCAUACAACCAGGAGGUUGGCUUAGAAGCAGCCAUCCUUUAAAGAAAGCGUAACAGCUCACUGGUCAAGCGAUCCUGCGCCGACAAUAUAUAGGGGCUAAGCUAGGUGCCGAAGACGCGGGUUAUGCAUAAAUUUAUUUUUGUAUAGCGGUAGAGGAGCGUUGUGUACUGGGCAGAAGCGAGACCCGUAAGGGCUCGUGGACUGUGCACAAGUGAGAAUGUUGGAAUAAGUAAUAUAUAUAGGGGUGAGAAUCCCCUUCGCCGAAUAUCCAAGGUUUCCUGGGCAACGAUCGUCGUCCCAGGGUUAGUCGAUCCUAAGAGUGCGCCCCAAGGGGUGCAUCCGAUGGAAAACAGGGUUGAUAUUCCCUGACCAGUUAUGCGUUAUCCAAGACGGGACGCAUCAUGGUAGCCUGAGCGUACUCUGACUAUGUACGUCGCUGUAUCCGUAGGGAGAAAUUCUAGGCAAAUCCGGAAUUUCAAACUGGGCUUAAGUCCUCCGGGACUUUAGCUUGGUGUAAUCUCGAAGAUAUGGAGAAAGCUCGCAAGAGCAAUUUGGGUGAACCAAGGUGCCAAGAAAAGCGUCGUGGUUACGCGUGUAACUGUCCGUACCGCAAACCGACACAGGUGGAUGAGGAGAGAAUCCUAAGGCGUCCGGAUCAAUGUUCGUUAAGGAACUCGGCAAUACAGCAGGUGUACCUUCGGUAUAUACCUUGCCUGUUUGCAUGCUGGGUAAAUGGAAAAAAGAAAAAUAUAAAAGUUAAUGACGCACGUAGCUCAGUGUACGAAGAUUAGGCAUCUACCCGGGUAGAUCCUAGUUAUUACGACUUGGGUAGAGCGCUGCCUUGAUACGGCAGAGGUCAGGGGUUCAAUCCCUCUCGUGUGUCCCACUUUUGUUUCGGCCAUACUGCCAAUUCUGGAAUUCUUCCGGUAGGUAAGAAUAGCACCGCCUCAUACUUUCAAGGGGGUGAAGCGAGUGCCGGUAGGCCGUGGUGAGCAAAGCUUCUAAGCUGCAGUAAAACAAUGACGCCGCCCGGCUCAGUUGUUAAGAGGCUUUGCUCACCUAAUUUCUAGGUGAAUAUAACUGCUAUCUAGCGGUUGUCUUCCCAUUCCAUUUCUUGUUCGUCGUACGGAACCCUCCUUCCGACGAGCUGCGGAGUCUAAAAUAAUCGUAAACUAAACGCUUGGUGCCAAGCUAGGUCAAGGUUACGAAAAACUUUAGUCUCCGCCCAUUUACCCAGCAUGUUAAACAGGCCGCAGCGAAUGACCUCUCCCGACUGUUUAUCAAAAACUUAGGUCCGUGCUAAAGCGCAAGCUGAUGUAUACGGGCUGAUGCCUGGCCAGUGUCAGAAGGUCAAAGCUCCUGGGGCAACCUCGGAGCCCAAGCCCUGAUGAACGCCGGCGGUAACUAUAACCGUCCUAUGGUAGCGAAAUUCCUUGUCGUGUAAGUUACGACCCGCACGAAUGGCAUAACGAGUAGAGGACUGUCUUAACGAACACUCCGAUGAACUUACAAUGGCGGUAAAGAUGCCGUCUACCCGCAGCAAGACGGAAAGACCCUAUGAAGCUUAACUAUAGCGUGUUAUUGAAUCAGUGUUUACACUGUUUAGUAUAGGUGGGAGCCUUUGAAGUUGUCGCGCUAGCGACAAUGGAGGCAAUAGUGAAAUACCACCCUGUGUGAAUGUUGAUUCUAACUUGAUUCUAACCUGAUCAAGGACAGUGGCUCGUGGGUAGUUUAACUGGGGCGGUUGCCUCCUAAAUGGUAACGGAGGCGUUUAUUAAGGUAGGCUAGGCGCGGAUGGAAAUCGCGCUGGUAGUGCAAACGCAUAAGCCUGCUUGACUGCAAGAGUGGCGACUCGCGCAGGUGGGAAACCAGAAGUUAGUGAUCCGAUGCGUUCGAGUGGAAGACGCAAAGCCCAACGGAUAAAAGUUACUCUAGGGAUAACAGGCUGAUCUUCUCCAAUAGUCCACAUAGACGAGAAGGUUUGGCACCUUAACUUAAUCGGGGUGCUAUGAGAGCGAUCUCAUACUGUGGUCUUUCGUCCGUCUUAGAAUAGGUAAAACUAUUCUAGAUAUAAUAGAAAGAAAAUAAAAUCGGCUUAUAACGGUGAACCCGUAAGUAAUACUGUGGUAUGUUAGAAAAGUAUUACACGGCGAUACCGUGGGAAGUCGCGCUAGUAUUAGCGUUGACCCCGUAACGACUGACUCGAAAGAGGAGACUUUGUCGGCUACAUAAUGAGUAGCGCAAGGUAACACGCCGACUCUUAUCAUGUUGCUUAGCAACAUAAACAAACAGACUAUGGCCUACCAGCCUAACGUCGUUGAUAAGAUGAAGAUAUAGUCUGCACCAUAUGAAAGUAUGGAUUCAGGUACGAUGUCGGCUCAUCACGUCCUGGGGGUGAAGAAGCUCCCAAGGGUUUGGCUGUUCGCCAAUUAAAGUGGUACGCGAGCUGGGUUCAAAACGUCGUGAGACAGUUUGGUCCUUAUCUGCUGUGGGUGUACGAAACUUGAGUGGGCGCGUCUCUAGUACGAGAGGACCGAGAUGCAUAUACCUCUGGUGUACCCGUUGUUCCUUCAGGAGCAUGGCGGGGUAGCUAGGUAUAGUUUAGAUAAGCGCUGAAAGCAUAUAAGCGCGAAGCUGUCCAUAAGACUAGGUUUCGUUGUAUCCUUCGGGAUACGAAAGGUUCGCAGAAGACUACUGCGUAUUUCAAUCAAUAUUUUUUAUGAAGGGCUUGCCUGGAUUAAAAAGUGGCGAUUUUAUAGGUUGCAGGUGUAAGUUUAGUAAUAAAUUGAGCCGAGCAAUACUAAUCAACCGAAAGUUCUAAUCUA
rnacentral:rRNA from 1 species